GUAUGUAUGCAAUGCUGAUUUGAAUAUGCACCAGGUAUGUAUGCAAUGCAGAUUUGAAUAUGCACCAGGUAUGUAUGCAAUGCAGAUUUGAAUAUGCUCCAGGUAUGUAUGCAAUGCAGAUUUGAAUAUGCUCCAGGUAUGUAUGCAAUGCAGAUUUUUUUUUUUUUUUAAUAUAGUAGUCGCCAAUUGUUUUUAUUAUUUUGUCCCCAAUUUGGAAUAGCCAAUUAUUUUAUUAUGCUCAGCUCACCGCUACCACCACUGCGCUGACUCAGGAGGGCGAAGAUGAACACACGCUGUCCUCCGAAGCGUGUGCCGUCAGCCGACCUCUUCUUUUACACACUGCAGGCUCACCAUGCAGCCACCUCAGAGCUACAGCGUCACAGGACAACGCAGCUCUGGACAGCUUACAGGCAAACCCGCAGAUUUUAAUACGCUCCAGAGGAGAAGAUGCAGAUAUUGAUUCCGGUAGCAGGUUCUGCAGCUCCCUUUCCUGGCUUUCCUGUCCUGUGACUGCGUUGAACUCAAUUAACCUGCUGAAAACAGGUCUCCCUGCAUCUCACAGCAUUCUGAAAGAUUCUGUGCUCACACCCCUCCCGUGGCACACAAAGACUGAACAAUGACAUCAUCUGAACAAAGAGACACAACACCAGGAACCACGAGCCCAGCAUUCAACGCACAGAAUUAACAUCCUUCUGGAGUAAGAAAAACACAACACCAUUCUAGAUACCAAUUUGAGUGUAGAAAAUUCCUUCUCUUUAUUGUGGUCUCAUUUUUAAAAAAAGAUCAGCAGAAAAAUGUUUUCCAGAGAAUGUCAGCGUGAAACAGAAACGAUAUCCACCUCUCCAACAGGGUUUCGCUUUUCAGAGGUCAAAAAAUGCAAAAACGUAGGUUUUUCCAUUCAUAUAACACGAGUGUGUACAAAAACUGCAUUUAUGUAGUUAUAGUAACAGAAGCAGAGUUGAUAAUUAGGCAGGAUAUACAAGUAAAUCACCCAACAGACCAAACAAUCAAAAACAGGAUGGAAUCUGUCCCUGCCGGUGCCAGCAGUAACAUGAAAGCUAGACCUUACAGUCGUCUUCGUCUUGGCAUCAAAAGCGUCUGUCCGAAUAUAUUUUCUUUUUGUAUUCCUGCAUAUUUAGAUUACUUUCAAUCGUCAAAAACAUUUUCACAGCCCCAGAACUUGCUUUGUGCUUCACGGGGACAUGCAUUAACACUCCAAUACGUAGAAGCUUUCUGAAUUUCUCUCAACCAUCUGCGCUCCCUUUCAUACAACAGUGUUCAAGCUGGCUGUGUGACAACUAAUCCACUGUCUCUCUGCCUCCUUAUUUAAAAAGGCACCUAUUAAAACAGUUAUAGCUUCCAGUACAAUAAUUAUAAAUACAUACAUCAAUGUCAUCUGAAGGCACACUGCACAGGACUGCACACAAGAGUAGAAAGCAGCGAAAGGGGCAAGUAAACCGACAGGGGGUUCAGUAAUUACGAAGGACAGGCCGGUUCAUUUGCAUAACAACCAUCUGGCCCCCGUCUCACUCGGCAGCGAAGUUAACAGUCACUCCUUGCCUCGGCUGGUCCUGGUAAUUAUCGGUAACCCCUGGAGGAUAUAAAGGGGCUGGCAUGUUCAUUUUGAGAGCUUUGUCACAAUCUGUACUGUCUGGGAAAUUAAGACUUUAAUGAAAGCAAUCUCGCAGCCUCCACUGUGUCCCACCACUUUGAUUGCAACACAGAAACCUUUUACAAACAAUAGUUACAAACGGGGAUGGAAACUAACACUCAGUAAACAGAUAUAGAGCCACAGCAGUUAAGCGUAAAGCCGUGGGAUAGAUUGGACACAGUGUGGUCCAGUGGUUAAAGUCCAGGGCUUGUAACCACAAGGUCACCAGUUCAAAUCUCACCUCUGCCACCGACGAUCACUGGUUCAAAUCCCACCUCUACCACUGACUGUGUGACCCUGAGCAAGUCACUUAACUUCCUUGUGCUCCAUCCUGCGGAUCAAAUGUUAAAUCAAUGUCCUAUUGUAAGUGACUCUGCAUACAAUGCACAAUUCACAGUCUACCUCUGUAAAGCUCUUUGUGAUGGUGGUCCACUAUGAAAGGCGCUAUAUAAAAAUAAA